UACGAAGGGGGCUAGCGUUGCUCGGAAUCACUGGGCGUAAAGCGCACGUAGGCGGCUUUUUAAGUCAGGGGUGAAAUCCUGGAGCUCAACUCCAGAACUGCCUUUGAUACUGAGAAGCUUGAGUCCGGGAGAGGUGAGUGGAACUGCGAGUGUAGGGGUGAAAUUCGUAGAUAUUCGGAAGAACACCAGUGGCGAAGGCGGCUCACUGGACUGGUAUUGACGCUGAGGUGCGAAAGCGUGGGGAGCAAACAGG
rnacentral:rRNA from 1 species